rnacentral:lncRNA from 1 species
CUGAAAUCAUGGCCUAAGCUAAAACCAAGAGUCAGACACUGAUUGAGCCACCUAGGUGCCCUGGGAAAAGAUGCAUUUUAAAUAUAGUGCUUCCAGAGCCAAACAAAUUGCUACAAGCACAGCCAACAUUCAGCAUCCUCCCUAAAUAGGACUUUACCCCAAGGAGACCACCCUCCCUUCUCCUCUUUGCCCUCAGAAUUGCACCGUCUUACAGCUUGCUCUCCUGAUAACCCUUCUGUCUCUCGACAGUGGCUGGCCCCUCUGCUGUAUGCUGCUGCUGUUUACUGCACAAUUCCCACACGAAAGCAGACCUCUACAAAGCCAACUUUUUUUUUUUUUUUAAGAUUUUAUUUAUUUAUUCAUGAGAGACAUAGGCAGAGGGAGAAGCAGGCUCCUUGCAGGAAGCCCAAUGCAGGACUUGAUCCCAGGACCCCAGGAUCAUGACCUGAGCCAAAGGCAGAUGCCUAACAACUGAGACAUCCAGGUGCCCUAUGAAGCCAACUUUUAAGAAUGAUCAGAAAUGGCCUGGCAGGAUCAUAACUCGGAUGUAGAACUUCUACAGUAGAUUUCGAGUAUCCUCUUUGUAAAUAUGCCUGUUUCCUGCAGCUGGCAGGGAGAGUGUUCCCUCCUUCAAGCCCUGGAGCAAGUCACUAGAAUUUUCUUUUGGCAUUUAGGAUUGAGAAGAAAACUAAAGCCAAAGAGUUCUCCUGAGUACUUCUUACAAAGAGCAGAGCCUACACCGGAAUCCAUAUUGAGGUGCCAUCUUGGUGGUGGCAACACAACUGGCUUUGGCAUGAUUUAUGAUUCCUUGGAUUAUGCAAAGAAAAAUGAACCCAAAUUUACACUUCCAAGACAUGGCAUGAGAAGAAAAAGACCUCAAGAAAACAGUGAAAGGAGCACAAGAACAGAAUGGAGGAAGAGGGUCUGCAAAAGCCAGUGUUGGUGCUGGCCAAAAGUGACCUGAAGAUUGGACAACAGAAGGAGUAAAGACUCCGCAGUGAUUUCAUCUGUGAGACCAUUGCUGAUGAUAAAAUCCAUGCUGUGAUGAAGAAUAAAGCAAAUCGUGCUAAAGUCUUGUACCUAUAA